CGUCUGACAUCAAACGUGCGGAUCCUGCCCCCGGGUCGGGUCACCGCGCGGGUCUGGCCAUUUAAAACGGCGCCGUUUUGCUUAUGUCUUAAAUUAACCAAAAAUUUUGAAAUCAAAUCUGUUUCAUUUUUAAAAAAAAAAUCAGUUACUGCUAGGGCUUUUCUCCUAACCCUCCGGCACCGACGUUCAUCUAUCCCCCCACCAAAACUCCGAUUGCGACGGAGAUGGUGGUGGUGCGACGGCCUCGACGAAAAGGUGAGCUUUUCUUCCUUCUCUUCUUUUAUAUUAUUCGUAAUAUAGAACCAAAAAACAGAAAAAGAAAAGGAAAAUCUAAAAAAAAUAUAAUGAUCACCUUCUAAAGAAUGAAUGAUCGAUUUGCUCUCGUAUUAAUUUUCUCUGUAUUUUCAGUCUUUUUUCCCUAUUUUCGUAUGCUUUUUACACUGAAAAUUCCCCCCCUUGAGUACAUAGAUUUAGGCUUUUUAUAGCCUAAAAAACAUUUUAUUUACAAUACUUUAUAUUUCGGACUCUUCUAAUCCACAUUCACAGGUGAUCGUGGCAUGCGGCGCGCGUUGGAGGAGGUUGGCUCCGGAUCUUGCGGCGGCUGAAGAGGGCAGUAGUUGCGGCGGCUAAGGCUGGGGGCUACUAGGGUUUCUUUUUUUGUGUAUUUUAGGCUUGUGGGUUGAAAAGUAUUGGGCUAGGGUUAAUUUUAUUGGGCCCGGGCAUAUUUGGGCUCUACACACCAAUUAUGAUUAAUUUGAUUAAGGUUAUUUUACUUUGUUUUUUCUUUUCUUCUGUUAAAUGAAAAAAAUUCAUAAGCAUGGACUGAUGAAUACAUCUAAAUAUAACGGUAUUAAUUCUAGAUGGAACAUUCUUUGGUGUCAAUUAUAAAAACAAUAUGCUUAACUUAUAUAAUUAAGAGUUAAUUUGAAGUAUGAAGCUAUAAAUUUAACACUAGAAUAUUUCUUGAUGCAAUUCUAGAUUCAAAAUACAAAUUCUCGCACCCACC
rnacentral:lncRNA from 1 species